rnacentral:tRNA from 1 species
GCCAAUGUCUUGUAUUCAAGGAUAAUGUUUCGGCCGUUAUUUAUGUAGAUAAGAGCUACCUUUGGUU